GGCCCUAUCGUCUAAUGGUUAGGACAGGUGGUUCUCAUCCACCAAAUCGGGGUCCGAUUCCCCGUGGGGCUGCCA
rnacentral:tRNA from 8 species